GCGGUAAUUCCAGCUCCAAUAGCGUAUAUUUAAGUUGUUGCAGUUAAAAAGCUCGUAGUUGAACCUUGGGAUGGGUCGCCCGGUCCGCCUUCGGUGAGCACCGGUCGGCUUGUCUCUUCUGUCGGCGAUACGCUCCUGGCCUUAACUGGCCGGGUCGUGCCUCCGGCGCUGUUACUUUCAAGAAAUUAGAGUGCUCAAAGCAAGCCUACGCUUUGUAUACAUUAGCAUGGGAUAACAUCAUAGGAUUUCGAUCCUAUUGUGUUGGCCUUCGGGAUCGGAGUAAUGAUUAAAAGGGACAGUCGGUGUAACACCCCCGAACCAUUUUAGGUAUAGGUCGAACCACCGGCCAACAAUCAAACAAGAACAUGACCAAUGGACGAACUUUCUACCAAGGUUUGGAAGCGCUACAUGACGGGUUAGGGACAAUCCAGCCAUGAUCACAA
rnacentral:ncRNA from 1 species